GAACUCCACAAGCACUCCUGAAGCCAAGCUAAUGCUCCCUCCGUAUUCGUCUUGGGGAAGUACAAGUAGAACUCG
rnacentral:lncRNA from 1 species